rnacentral:rRNA from 1 species
GUAACACGUGGACAAGUCUGCCCCCCGGCCCGGGAUAGGCCCAGGGAAACCUGGAUUAAUACCGGAUGAGACGGGACCCGCGAUGGCGGGAUCCGGGAAAGGCGCUGCGGCGCCGCCGGGGGAUGAGUCUGCGUCCCAUUAGCUAGACGGCGGGGUAACGGCCCACCGUGGCGACGAUGGGUAGCCGGCCUGAGAGGGUGGACGGCCACACUUGGAACUGAGACACGGUCCAGACUCCUACGGGAGGCAGCAGCUAAGAAUCUUCCGCAAUGGGCGAAAGCCUGACGGAGCGACGCCCGCGUGAACGAAGAAGGCCGUGAGGUUGUAAAGUUCUUUUCGGGAGGGGGGAACAACCGUGGCAGGGAAUGGCCGCGGGAUGACGUGAAUCCCGGAAUAAGCCCCGGCUAACUACGUGCCAGCCGCAGC